AUGAACGCUGGCGGCGUGCCUAAUACAUGCAAGUCGAGCGAACAGACGAGGAGCUUGCUCCUCUGACGUUAGCGGCGGACGGGUGAGUAACACGUGGAUAACCUACCUAUAAGACUGGGAUAACUUCGGGAAACCGGAGCUAAUACCGGAUAAUAUAUUGAACCGCAUGGUUCAAUAGUGAAAGACGGUUUUGCUGUCACUUAUAGAUGGAUCCGCGCCGCAUUAGCUAGUUGGUAAGGUAACGGCUUACCAAGGCAACGAUGCGUAGCCGACCUGAGAGGGUGAUCGGCCACACUGGAACUGAGACACGGUCCAGACUCCUACGGGAGGCAGCAGUAGGGAAUCUUCCGCAAUGGGCGAAAGCUUGACGGAGCAACGCCGCGUGAGUGAUGAAGGUCUUCGGAUCGUAAAACUCUGUUAUUAGGGAAGAACAAAUGUGUAAGUACCUAUGCACGUCUUGACGGUACCUAAUCAGAAAGCCACGGCUAACUACGUG
rnacentral:rRNA from 1 species